UGUAAAUCUAAGUACGAGAAAUCGUGAACGAUUUUAUAAGAGACUUAAAUCCUCGUUCCAUAGCUCGUCACUCUUAACAGAAGAAAAAAAAAAGGUCGUAACUUAUCGAAGAUGGGAUCUCCAGUACCAGUACCUUGCAUUUAUAGAGUGCCAAAGGCAAUUCGUAAAGCGAAUCCCCGAGCCUAUACAACUCAGAUUGUCCUCAUCGGCCCGCUUCAUCGUUCUUCCAAAUUGAUGCCGGUAUCUUCUAAGGACGACGUAGACGAUGCUGGCACGAGUACGGAAAUAAAGUACGUU